rnacentral:rRNA from 1 species
AAUAGAUACCCGGGUAGUCCACGCCGUAAACGAUGAGUGCUAGGUGUUGGGGGGGUCCACCCCUCGGUGCCGAAGUUAACACAUUAAGCACUCCGCCUGGGGAGUACGGUCGCAAGACUGAAACUCAAAGGAAUUGACGGGGACCCGCACAAGCAGUGGAGUAUGUGGUUUAAUUCGAAGCAACGCGAAGAACCUUACCAGGUCUUGACAUCCCUCUGAAUCCUCUAGAGAUAGAGGCGGCCUUCGGGACAGAGGAGACAGGUGGUGCAUGGUUGUCGUCAGCUCGUGUCGUGAGAUGUUGGGUUAAGUCCCGCAACGAGCGCAACCCUUGAAUUUAGUUGCCAGCACGUUAAGGUGGGCACUCUAGAUUGACUGCCGGUGACAAACCGGAGGAAGGCGGGGAUGACGUCAAAUCAUCAUGCCCCUUAUGACCUGGGCUACACACGUACUACAAUGGCCGGUACAACGGGCAGCGAAGGAGCGAUCCGGAGCCAAUCCUACCAAAGCCGGUCUCAGUUCGGAUUGCAGGCUGCAACUCG